rnacentral:rRNA from 1 species
UACGUAGGGGGCAAGCGUUGUCCGGAUUUAUUGGGCGUAAAGAGCGUGUAGGCGGCCGUAUAGGUCGGCUGUGAAAACUCGAGGCUCAACCUCGAGACGUCGGUUGAAACCGGACGGCUAGAGUCCGGAAGAGGAGAGUGGAAUUCCCGGUGUAGCGGUGAAAUGCGCAGAUAUCGGGAAGAACACCCGUGGCGAAGGCGGCUCUCUAGUACGGUACUGACGCUGAGACGCGAAAGCGUGGGGAGCGAACAGG